UACGUAGGGUGCGAGCGUUAAUCGGAAUUACUGGGCGUAAAGCGUGCGCAGGCGGCGCGUUAAGACAGGUGUGAAAGCCCCGAGCUUAACUUGGGAAUUGCGCUUGUGACUGGCGUGCUGGAGUGUGGCAGAGGGAGGUGGAAUUCCACGUGUAGCAGUGAAAUGCGUAGAGAUGCGGAGGAACACCGAUGGCGAAGGCAGCCCCCUGGGCUAGCACUGACGCUCAGGCACGAAAGCGUGGGGAGCAAACAGG
rnacentral:rRNA from 1 species